rnacentral:snRNA from 1 species
GGGUGCAAGGGCGAUCUGGCUGCAACAUCUGUACCCCACUGAUCGCCAGGGUUGGCUCGGCUGAUCUGGAUGGCUGGGUGGGUGUCCCCUCCUCCCUCACUGCUCCACGUGCAGCCCUCCCAGAGCUGUGUGGUUGCUGGAAGAGGGUGACCUUCCCUCAUGGAGGAGGACCGUUCUUCGUCAGGGGUAUACGAGUUAGCUGCGCUCCCCUGCCAGAACCUCCAGCCAAGCUCUCAAGGUCCAUUUGCAGGAGAAUGUAGGGUAGACAAGCUUCCAAGACUCCAGACACGUCCAGAUGAGGUGCUGCAUGUGGCAGUCUGCCUUUCUUU